AACGAACGCUGGCGGCGUGCCUAACACUUGCAAGUCGAACGGGGGUAAGUAGCUUGCUAUUUAUUCUAGUGGCGCACGGGUGAGUAACGCGUAGAUAAUCUGCCUUAGACUCUGGGAUAACAUCUCGAAAGGGGUGCUAAUACCGGAUAAGCCCACGAGGACGCGAGUCUUUGCGGGAAAAGGGGGCCUCUGCAUAUGCCCUUGAUCUAAGAUGAGUCUGAGUACCAUUAGCUAGUUGGUAGGGUAAUGGCCGACCAAGGCGACGAUGGUUAGCUGGGCUGAGAGGAUGAUCAGCCACACUGGAACUGAGACACGGUCCAGACUCCUACGGGAGGCAGCAGUGGGGAAUUUUGCGCAAUGGGGGAAACCCUGACGCAGCAACGCCGCGUGAGUGAUGAAGGCUUUCGGGUCGUAAAGCUCUGUCUAGAGGGAAGAAGUGAUUUUUGGUUAAUACCCAGAUUUCUUGACGGUACCUCUGAAGGAAGCACCGGCUAACUCCGUGCCAGCAGCCGCCGUAA
rnacentral:rRNA from 1 species